ACAAGUUAUCGUUUUUCCAGACUUCACCUUCCUCAGGUGCCAAUGUUUUCCGCUGCCAUACUGGUACACUACAUACAUUUAACUUUAAUGGUCAUGCUCUUUAAAAUCCUUUAGGUUAUUUAGAAAUAUACCCCCAUGGCAAAUCCAUGCAAGUUCACAGCUUCAAAUGAACUUCAAAUGGUCAUGCAGACCACAAUGUGACUCCUGUACAUGAAGGAGAAAGAAGCUUCUGUUCCAGUCAUGCCACAUGGCUGAACAGAGCUGGACAUUUUGUGCAGCCUUUUAGCGUUAAACAGGCUUUGGUGAGUGAAGAACUGAGCCAUGUUACAGACUGCAGCGGUCAGGGCAGUGAGGCCAAUGCUCACAGCUUCUCUAAGUGGAAGUACAACUAUUUGCACCUUGAAGGGUUCUGUCUUUUCUCUCCAGCCCAUUUGGAGGGCAGCAGUUUUCGAUUGUUUGGGAGACUGUCUAAACAUACCAAAAACCCUAAUGGCUGGAAGCGUGUCAUCUGCUCUGCUGAGGGGGGCUGAGUUUCUGAACGUGGCAGAAAAAUACACUGCAGAGCCGUGUCUGUGCUUGGACAGAGGAGCACCCUACAGCCUGCACCACACUGACAAGAGGCUGUCGUGCAGUGACUGCCACAGUGCUUGGCCACCAAGUGACAGCCCCAAAUAGGCUGCUUUGCACAACAAAGAAAAUCCUGCAAAAAAACAUGUAGAAGCCUGAAGCAGGUCUGAGACUAGACAUAUAAUAAUUCCAGGGUGCACAACAGAUGGAGACUUUAGAAUACGGAGCCACUAAUCUAUGGAUUACAGAGUCCCUAAUUAUAGACUGACACUUACCAUUUCUGAGUGGAACUACCAGAGCAGGGAGGGAUCUUGCAAAUCAGCGUUCAGCAACAGAAUACACUGUUAGGGGUAACCGGGGAAGGAAUCAGAUGUUGUCACUGUGCCACCACAUCAACCUUCUACACAUUUGUGUCUCUGAAUGCUGCAUGGAGUUCAGUGCCAUUGCAGAUAUUGAAAACAAGGAUAGCGGAGCUGGGAAAGGUCCAGAAAGAUCUGCAUGUGUAAUCAAAGGCAUGGCCUACAGCUGUACCCAGGCAAGCCCUAAGUGACAGAUACCUCCUCGAGCGUGAGACAUAAAUCAUGCACACAUUUCUCCAUACAAACAGGUCAGCCUGUAAGAACAGAUAACCAAGUGAGUUCUUCGUCAUCUCCAACCUUGAAUUUCUCAUUAGUCCUAAUACUAAUCCCAGUAUGGUCCUACCCUACUGACUCCCAGCCUUGGAGCAGGCGAAAGCUCGAUAUUCCUUUAUACCCUGUUCCUAAUUCUGACCCAGUCAGUCAUAAUGGCAAAUCAUAAAACAAGUUUUACAGAUCCCACAAAACUCAAAAUAUUAACUCUAACACUGCACGUAACUGAAAUCGUUACAGCCUGGGACAUGAACGAAAGCAAUCACCAACCAAGCAGAGACCGCACUGUCAAUGGCAUGGCCCAAGCAGGAGUACCAAUGAACUGUCACCAGCUCUUUUAUUCCAUAUCCCUGAUCCUAAGAGUAACCCUAGUCCAAUCUGUCAGUGUCCCAGUGACAUUUUUUUUCCCGGAUUUAACCACUUGAUAGUAGCAGGGAUAAAAAAAGAACUUUAGCACAGACAACACUGAGCAGUGCUUUAAGUCCAGAAGUCCUAACUGAGAUGCAGCCACUCACCCUGCCUCUCACUGUAUUCAGGUUAAUGAAAACUCAUUUGUUUACUUCUGGCCUUAUCCUGCAGCAAUCUACAUAGUAAAAUGGAGAAAUUAUCUGAACUCCGUAGCCAUCACUAAUCUGAAUUGCCCUAGCCUGCACCCUAAUGUUAUAUGUGUCCUGAAUUCCUCGACUGCCUCAGACGCAGGAAAAACACUCACCAGUCAAGCAUUGGCUCUCAUCAGUAUUCAAGCCAUGAGAGCAUAUCAGGAGCAGGAAAUUCAAGCUGUUCAACUUUAUACUCUGGUAGACUGUCUAUACUCGUGCCUUAGGGACAUCUGCUAUCCACAGACAUAAAGGCAAGGCAAUUGCAGAGAUUAAUAACGUAAACCUGGGAUCUGGAGAGAUGCAGUCAUCAAAUUAGCUCUUCAAUGCCUCCAGUCAGAAACGCUGAUUUAACAAUAAGCCUGACAUAAUUACCCAUACAGUCUCUAGGCUGGUGGGAUGGCAGUCACUGCACUCCAGCCACCUGCAGCAAAUUCUCUGUUCCUGAGUCCUUGCAAAGCUGAACCCUGCCUGUGAUGCAUCUCUGAGGCCAUUAACUCCCCAGCUCACAUGAGCUAAGAGCCAGGCAAGGCCUGCAGCUUCUGGCUGGCCACAGGCACACCUCAAACACCUCUGGGCUUCCUGCUUCUGUCACGGAGGUCCUCCAGCACCGCAGCUCAGCCCCAGCCAUGCUGGCAGCACUGUGCCUACAGGCCCAGGCAGGUUGUGCUCUGGUCUGUGUUCUCCAUUGCCAUUCUGCUUCCCAUAGGGUAUAGCUGUUUUAGCAGUAGUCUUUCUGGUGUUGGUUCAGCUACAUCUGGACUGAAAGGUUUUCAUGGAGUCUGGCCCUCAAAAUGGAAGUGUUUUUUGGAGUGUGCACUGUCCAGUAAACUUACACUGUGCGGGCAGUGGAACUCCACGGUGGGAAAAAGUAUCCAUCUGAAUGCAAUAAUGCAUUCAACAGCAACAAUAUUAUCAUCAGUUGAAUAACAGUUAUUAUUUUGGAGCAAAAAUAAUUCUGUACUUGAAAGAAAAUGAACCAUUUUCAAAAUGGAAAAGAGGUGAUUCCUACACAUAGAAUUCAUUAAUGGUUUACUAGGAAGCUCUAAACAGUAUAUUUGGUUUAGAUUUAAGGUUAGGAAUAAUGAAAUUGUAAUCUUGCUGCUUACAUUAAUGCAGAUCUCAUCCUGACUGAUAAUACACAGUUACCAUCUGGCCAUUGUAAGUAGGUGCCAUAUUCUCCUCUCACUACAGAGAGCUGAAUGAUUUAUAAAUAUCAGUUCAACUGACAAACACCACUGUGUUUUCUGGGCACACUUCCUACAAGUGGAUGUCUGUGUUGUUCAGUACAUCUGUGAGCAUCUUCAUCAAAUAAUCUCCUGACCUGGAGCUUGCUUAUUAAAUAUCUACAGAUAAUUGAAAUUGGACUUGCAUAGCAAUUACAAAUUCUACUGCAUCUAUAUCUAUCUAUAUGUCUAUGUUUUCCUCUAGAUGGGAACGUGCAUAGCAAGCCAAAAGAAAGUUUGUAUUUCAAACUGUGUAUGCAACUGUUUUGUUUUACUUUACAGUUCACAGAUGACAAUUCACAUAGAUAUUGUCUCUAAAAUGAAAACUUGUUUUAGGUGAAAGUCUUAGGCAAUUCAGGUGUAUAAUUCUCCGUAUUAAUAAAUAUCAAUAUUAAUUAGUUAAUAUUAAUACACAUUCUCCUCAAUAUUUGAGGAGGGCAAACACAAAAGAACACGUAUAUAAAAAGCAAGACAGCAUGAACUAAGAUGCAUAUUUAAAUAUUAACUUGAAUGUAUUACAGUAAUUUCCUGGCUGUAUGAAAUGGGCAUUUGAGGUCCAGUAACUCAUCUGCUGAAGUGAAAGCCAGCAGUCAUGAGCUCUCUAAGAGUGCACCUGUAGCAGAAAUGCUAAGUCACAGCUUGAAGCAGUGAUGGAGCACCUGGUGGGAAGGCAGGGCCAGCCCAGGGGAGCUCAGGUGCAUGCAAUGAAGCUGAGUGACCAUAAGGGCUGGAGCCAGGAUCCACCCCUUCCCAGCCCUCAUUUCAGGGUUGGUGGUGGAGUUGAGGGGAUCUUGUUAGAGAUCUCUGCUUACCUGAGGUCUUCUGAAGGAAAAUGUACCCAUUUUUCUGCCCAGCAAUGCAUAGUAUCAGCAUCAAGGAGUUUGCUGAACUGCCUUGAGCAUAUUCAUUUCUUGCCUGCCUCUUCUCUGUGCAUCUCAGAGACGUAGUUGCUUUGCCUGACCGAUGGAGUCAGGCAUCUUUUGUUUGCCAGCACCAUGGAAAAAGAGGAAAUGUUUAUCUUUGUUAUAAGACGUAGCAAGCCUGAUUCUGAUUUCAGCUGCACUGGUAUUGCACAAUCUAUCUCCACUGAGCUAUGUUCCUGUUAAUCCAGCUUUACUUUUACUUUACUUUUCAUAUAUCUUAAUUUCACCUGGGACAGUGUGUUAAAAUAAGGAUGUGAUAAAACCAACUCUCCUUGCCAAGACGAACACAGCAAGAUGAAACCAUCCAUAUUUUGGAUACAUUUGACAGGAAGCAGUACUAAUUAGAAAUGGAAGUAAAGUUUGGAUGGGUAAAUUUUCAUGCAAAUGACAUUUGCAACUCAGUCCCUAACAGAAAUGUCAGUAUCCCCUUCCAUCUUGGCUCCACCACAAGAAAAACAGACAACUGCCUGAUGUGGGUCCAGUCAGCAACUCAUUUUGUAAUGGCGGUGGGAGAAGAAUGCUGCAGCUAUUGGGCUAGAUCAGACCUGGUGCUUCUCUGCUGCGUAUGUCAGGCUGCCAGAACAGCUGAGCUUGGAUGGCUGCAUUGUCCCCAUGUGUUGGGGUGAUCUUGGUGUUCAGGCUCUUUUUCUCUAUUCUUCGACGCAUAAAACUUUCAAGGAGACUGUUUUAGCUUAAAUAAAAUCUCUAAAACUUAUCUUUUCAUCUGAAUGCUUCUCUCCUCCAGUGACUUCCUUCAACAAAGAGAGAUUUCAGCCAGAACUUUGUUUCAUUCUCAGGCCAACAGGGAUAAAUCUCUUUCUCAUGAUUUCUCUCCCCGCCUUUGCCUGCAAACAGAUGGAAGACAGUGGUUAGUACAUGGCUCCCUAGUAUGGUUUGGAAAGCAGAAACACUUCCAGACUUCCUCUGGACUUGUGGUAUUCUGACCUCUGAGGCUCUGUCCUUGCUCAGCAACUGUCACCUUGGUACAAAUCUCUGUAGCUAAUCUGUGAUGACAGGACCUGGAUCUCUUGCUUUUCAUUUACCAUGCAUUUUGCACUGCUGAGAGGAAAAAAAAAAAAGGUUAUAACCCAAGCUGUGGUGAGCAGAGACCAUGACGAAGAUAUAGAAAGAUGUAAAAGCAGCUGCUAUGCAUCCUCCUGAGCAGGCCAGAGCUCUGGUGGGAGCCAAGCAUCUGCACAGGAGAGCUGGAGGCAGAGUGGAAUUUCCUGCCUCCUGGAAGGCAACAGUGGUGAUCUGUCCAUAGGAACAAUCGUCCAUAUGUUGCAUUGCAGGCAGUUUCAGUGUCUUCCCCAGCCUCUCCCGUUAGGCUGCUGGGUUUAUGAGCCCACUGUGCUGUCUGAGGUGAUACACCAAGCAAUGUAAUACGUUUGCUCUGUGAGGAAACAGCAGUGCUGACAAUCCCAGAAACAGAAUGCAUCGCAAGAUGAGUACGCAACAGUUUUGCUUCUGACUUCAAAUGAACCUGAAUUUAGCAACUGGGAGCCUGAUACCCCACUCUGAGCAUCUGGGACCCUGUCUGUCCUACCACUGCCCACAAAGACUACUGACAUUGCCACUGCCGAGUCCUCCUGGCCCAGGGCCUCUUUCUGCUCCUUGCAGGCUGGUUCCUGUCACACUGACAUGAGCACUCAUGCCUGCCUGCUGCACGUGCUCUGUGUCACUGGCCUGCCAUUUCUGUUUUCAGUUACAGUUUAUCCCAAUAAAGUCAUGACUCACUGGGGGAAAAGCAGUGUCUGCAAGCAGUGCUGGAGCCAAGGCUUUGCUCAGCUGUUGCUAAUGCCUCACUGGUGGCUAUCGCUGAGCCAAGACUGAUGCAGGACAGCUAGCAGUGGAAUCAUCUCUCUUGCCACAAUAAGCAUAAUAAAAGGAGGUCAGCACAAUUUAUACGUUGUGAGAUAACAACCUUUUCCCAGCCCAUUUAGUUUCAUCUGAAUUUGUGAAAAUCAACAAGUAGUCAGGCCCACAGCAAGCACAGGUUCCAGAUCCUGUGAGGCACUACUCGUUUAGAGAAGAGGUUUUUCCUCCUGUGUGAUGGUAAAUGCUCUUCACGGCUGGAUGGACAGCCAAGCAGUGUGUGAUCUCUCAGUUACAGCCUGGUUCCUGCAGUAUUUACACAGUUAAGGUGCUUAAGUCCUAGGCUGCACAAGAAGGCGUAGGGCCAUGACAGAAAAUGUGCACAAGGGCAAUCCUGCCUACUUCUCUAGCCUGGCUAAAAUAUAGUUCACUGCUUGCUUUCUUGCAAUCACAAGAAACCAUAUAUAAAAACAAACAAACAUACACAGUACCUUUAAAUCUACUAUAAUUCUACUCUGUCAACAUCUAAUUACUGAUUAUAUGUGUGUAAUCACUGGCAUAUAAUCUCUAAUUAUCUCUAGAUAUACCACCUGUUUUUGCAACAGAGCAUCGGUAUGCUUUCCUGAAGCCAGGAGCAAGGCUGUGCACAGAGUUUGAAGGGGAGACCACUUCAGAUCUGGAAAGAAUUAUUAGGUCAAGUGCAAGACCAUGGAAAUGAGGAAAUCUCAGCCUCAUCUUAAACUCCUUUCCAGUGACACAAGCAGGUGGAGAGGUGCAGCUGGUGAUCCCUGAGGGAGACUGGAAAGAAGGAGGCACAAGAGGCAAAGUGAAGUUUGAAAGUGAGUCAAUAUACUCAUUGGAAGAAGAACCGACGGUAGAGCUCUUAAGUGAGAACAGCCAAUCCAGUCUGCACAGUGUGAGAGGAGAUCCUAGACAGUGUCAUCCAGUAAGCAGGGAACAAACAGAACUGAUGAGAGGUUGAGAGGGAGACAGAACAUGAACUCAGGGGAACCAGGCUGACUCCUCCUAAGUUGAAUUCUGUACAAGUCUGGCAGAAUAUUUUGGGCCUCAGGCUGUUACAAAAUAGGUGUUUUCUUAUUCAGACCCUCCGCACCAAGCCAGAUGGCUGUUCAAGUGGCUAAAAUCUCACCAUUCCCCAAACUGGGAUCCUAAGAAUGCCCAUUGAUUUGUGGCCUAUAGAAGAUAUCUGCAGUUUUACUUGGUAGUUCUUUGAGGUCUGCAGCUGCUUCUCAGCACUGGUUUUGAACCAUCUUGAGGCAAGCUGACUGGCUGGAGCUUAGCUGAUGCACAGAACCUCCUGGAUCUCCAGUUGUUCCUCCUCAUUUGUUCUGGUGGCUCCACCUAGCUACACAGACACUACCCAGGGCUUGGUAUCGAUAGCAAUUCCGUACUUCUGAAUCUCUUAAAAAUCACUGUAUCUCUGGCACUUGGGCUCUAACAACUCCACAACUGAAUGACUCGAUUUGCACCUGAUUGUGAUGCCUGCGGUACCAUGAGACUCCUUGGGCAUUAAGGAAGAGGUAGUAGUCUUUCUUCAGAGAAAGGAGCAGAGGCCAGAUUUCCCAAAGGAGAAUUUUCAGAACUCCUGUUUCACGAUUGUUAUUUGCUAACAUUUUGACUAUCAGCUCAUUUCAGGACAAAAAUCUGACGUGUUGAAAUUUUGGAAUUUCCUAUAGAUUUUGUUCAGCACUAAACAAAUCUGGAAAGGAAAAGCAUUACUCCAUUUCAGAAGAAUUCUUGGAAUAACCCAGCACAGAAGAUUAUAGAUCUGUUCUAACAUUAGAUAAGUGUUCUCAGUUAUCACAGAGACUCUGAGAGCACACUGAAGUCAAUCUGUGUGUGUUGUUAGAAAGAAUACACUCUAAGAGUAGAAAAGAAUUUUGCAAUAGAAAUAAACAUCCUAUGAACCCACUUUCCCUUGUGGCUUUGACACGAAAUGCUGAAUAGGCUUUUGACAGUCAAAUGCUUUUUCUUUGGAACUCUUCAGCGGUUUGACUUUGGUAAAGUAUUUCAUUAAAGUUGCCACCCUACUGAAUAGCAGCUUGUCAGAUGACAUCUGUGCCUGUGAUGAAAUCUUUCCCCAGUACCUGAUAUAAAGGCUUAUUUCCCACCUCAUAUCUCUUCCAUGUUAGACAACCAUCCUGCCAUCUUUGCCAUAUUCUGACAACACGAAGUAUUCUCUUCCAGUCUCGUCCAUUUACUUAUCUCAUCCAGUAUAGCAUAUCCAACACAAGAUAGAGCUGACAGGGUCCGUAUUGCUUUGUUUAACUACAGGUGGGUAGGGCAGCGCAACUGCCAAACCAGAUGUGCCCCAGAUUGGGCCCAGUCAAACAAAAUGGCAUGUUCAUUGGCUCCCACAGAAACUCAUAUGUCUGGGAACAAAGACAUUCCUAUGAGUACUGUAAACUCUGUUCUGGAAAACUGAUUUUAAAUCAUCUAAACAUCAGCUCCCAGCAUGACUCUGUGGCAAAGACAAUUAUCACUAGUUCUUUGAUGUCUAAGCAGGCAUAUCAAAUGUGAGUACAUAUGGAUGUAUUUAACAUUGCUAUACUAUUGCCAUGCUGUCAUCAAUUCUAGCUGUCUGCAUUUCCAGUGGAUGCCAAAAAGUGCCAUCCCUCCAAACGGUCAUAGCUGAAGGACUGGAAAACAUUUCUGUAGCUUCUUCUCAAGGACAGCAGCACAAACUUGGUCAUGUCAAAGAGAAGGUUAAAUGCAACUUGAUCACAAUCUGUAAAUGUCAAUAUAAAGUUGCAGAUACUUGAUACAGAAGGCUUCAGAAGCUCAAAGAUGGAUGUGUGUAAGAGGUCUCUUGCUGGAACUUGAAGUUGAGUACAUUUAGAGGAGAUAGGGUUCCCCAUUUUUAACAGCAGGGGUAGGAUUCUGUUUUAGGAACUUAUGUGCUCCAUCACAUGCCCCCCGGCACUACAAACAAGUCAAGAACAGAUGUUUUCCUGAAAGAUACGGUCACAAAGACUCAGGAUGGAGAGACCCCUGAUAAGCAAGGAUGCCUGAAGGAUCACAAAGGACUAGUUGGACCUUCUAAUCUACUACGUCUGUAAGUUUAGAAACUGGAACUUGAAGAUAGAAGCAUCACCCACUUGCCUUCCCUGACUGACGAUGGUAACAGGCUCACCAGCAGCCUGCUCUCAACCAGCGUGCCAUUUCUUGGGGAAUGAGAGAACCCACUCAUCUCUGACCUCUGCCUCUAAAUCUAAGUAGGACAAGCAGACUUUUCUUGUCAAGUUUGGCUCCUUCACUAAUCCUUCUGUGUUCAUCCUUAGCCUCACUUCUCCUGAGGUACAUGAAAUGCAGUGCUCGAGGCUGCCCUGACAUUGCUGCAAGAAUGAAUUAGCAAAGAAAUCCUGUUUAUCUGGCAGUCUUCUGAAACAGGACACUUGAAUAAAUAAGGACUGCAGAGUAGCAUGAAACAAGAUAACUCAAUUAAUUCAGCUAAUUUCAUCAUUGUUACUUGUCAUGCAUGUAGUAAAGGAAUGCAAUUUUAUUGAAACAUUAUUCUCUUAUUAUUCUAUUUUAUCAAAUUAUUAUUCUCACGUAGGAAGCACAUGAGAUGGAGAGAUCAGUGUUAUCUUGGUCAAGGAAGGAAAUAUCUUCACUGAGGACAUUGCCCUCCUUUGCUUGAGCUUGUGAGCAUUGGCAACAGCGGGGGCAAGUUGCCAGCUAAAGUCAGCAGCCUAUUUCCUUCAGAUAUGACCAUCAACAACCAUUGGGAAGGCUCAGUCGGACUCCUGGAAUCUUGUUCUACGUCAAGAAAUGAAUGCAGUCAUUAAGGCAGAGAAAUGCUCUGUGGGGCUGAUGUCUUGGUUCUAGCAGGUCCUGUGGCAGCACCCAAGGACAUGCGUUCAAAUGCCAGCCAUCUGCAUCCUGCUGGGCCCGGGCUGGGAAAGCAGCCCCGUUGUGGAAUCCCCUCCUCGAUCUGUAUCUCUUGUCCACUUUGAACAGACAAGCAAGGGGAGAUGAGGUUUGCCAGCAGGAUUUGAAGACAUCACUCAUGACUGCUUGCGUGAAAAGCACUUUGCCAGCUGGCAUAUAAAUAUAUGAUUUAAAGAAACCACGCUUAAUUACAGAGGACAGACAUUUUGUCAUUGUGUAAUUAAGCUUCAAAUCUGAUCUGUAGACAUACAAAUAAAGAGAUAUGCAUUCUGCUGGGCUCAAAAGCAAGGCCACUGCAUCGACUCUGAACCCAAGCCUCAGUUUCCAUAGUAGUCUUGUAAAAAUGGUCUUAUAACAUCUAACAAAAAGAUCCUUAAAAGUGAAUGGCAAUUUGAUCUAAAAAAUACUGCUGUAGAAGGCAGAGAAAUAAAACUAAUACUCAGCUUUUAUGCAGUGAAUAAUUUCCAUUAAUGGUUGGAUUUUAAGGCCUCCUCUUUUUUAGCAGCCUCCAUACUUUAUCAGCGCAAAUAACUUCAGUGCAAUCAUUUAUGCUGCAAAGUACUAGGAAGAAUAAACAUAAGAACCAAGAUUUAAAUAAAUAUUUCUGUUAAAGUACAAUGCUGAAACUUCUGCACAUUUGCAGAAUCAGACAAAGGCCAGGCCCUGCUCCAAGGAAUUUUAAUUCUCCAUACAGCUCCACAGCCGCAAGGAGAGGUCCCCAAACGAGGGCUUCACACUCCUAUCCCUGAGCACAGUGCACAGAGCCAUUGGGCAGCUGGUGGCUGAGGAACACACAUUUUGCCCCAGGAAAGAGUGACUCCCCCAACAGCUCUGACUUGGCAGGGGUCUGCCUGCUGCUUGGAGCUGCUCUGCGCCUGCUCUGAAAGGAGAUAGCAGCAGUUGUGUCACAUUCCCCGCUGCUGGGGCAGAAGCUGGCCCAGUUUGCAGCUUGUGCUCAGCAGACCUUACUUGCAGCACGAAGAGGAUAAUUCAUGCAUGUCCUCGGAAGCAGAAACCGCUGGAGCAGUCGCUUCCCGUGCAGCUGUUUGGUCCCAGCCGGCUAUCUCCCCAAUGAGCAACUGGUUACAAAUGGAGAGCCUACUCUGUAGUUGAGGAAACUCCGUAGCAAACUCAUUCAGACAUCUGACAGGGAGCUUCCUUCCUCUGCUGCAGGCACCUGUGUGUUAAAGUAACUCAUGCAAGUUUACUGACAUGCAAUGUUUAUAAAUAUUUAUAUUUAGUGAACCCUUUGUUCUCCUAUCCCUUUGGACCUGAAUAAUUAGUCAAAAAUUCAAAGUCCUGAAAAUUGUUCUGCUUAGGUGGAAAAAAGGGACAGAGUCAGUCACAUUGGUACAUACUCAGAAACAAAUGCAGGCUGCUUCCCAGAGCGCAAAAGGAAGGAAACGAUUCCAAAUCAUUUCCCUUCCACUUGGCUUCAAGCCUGUUAGCCAGCAUCCACAAACUGCCUCUCUUACCAUUACCACGUGGUCAUUGUUCUCCAUGAUGGGGUCAGGCUCCCUGGACAUUUUUCCCUAUGUGAGAACCAGCAAUCCUUGGAGGACUGGCAGACAAUGGUACUGCUUUCUUUCAUGAAAAUGUUGGAAAACUCAAAAUCAACAACAUCUCAUAACACAAACAGAGGAUGCGAGCAAUUACUUUGAAGGAUGCUAAGCCCAGCUAUGAUGUACAAAUGUUCUGUGUAGCAAAAAAUAAGUACUUGGAAAAAUAAUUUUAAGUCAAGACUCCAGUUUUGCUGCUACGUGAUAAAUUUGACAGGCUCAGUUAAACACCAAUUUGCAUUUUUAAAACUCAGCCCUGCCUCUCUCUGUCUUUCAGGUCUCCCAUGCUCUUGAAAUGAAGUUGCAAUGGAAAUCUCAAAGCUUAAACUAGCCAAAACAUGCAGCUUGUACGCUGGCUGUGUUUGCAUGAAAGUUUUUGCAGCAGAUAUUGCUUGUAUGUAUCAGUAAGGUAUGACUGAUUAUGUGCUCACGCAGUGACUGCAGACACGAGUGCAAUGCCAUACUGCCCUGUGCCUGUGAGAGCCAGCCUGCAGGCAGCACCCACUUAUCCGUAAAGUCAGAAGCUCACAAGCAUGCCGCCUCUGUUAGUCGCGCACUCAUGCCCAAGCCUAUUUGUUGAGAGCGAGCCCUAGUGAACGCUGCCAGCAAAACCAGCAGCGGGAUGGUCUCUGAGUUUCCACACUGGAGCCCCUGUUGAUGCGCCCGCGGCCGGGCACAUCGCAGCGCUGCGCUUCGGCGCCCUGACUCGACCCGGGGACGCGGCAGCGGUGGGACCCGAGGGUCGGGAUGAGUCGCUGGGCAGCGCGGCAGCACGUGCCCCAUCAGCCACCCGCCGCUCCUCAGCUUCAGUUUAGCGCCCACCAUCCGGCAAACGCUCUCCAGGGAAGCAGCACCGGGGCCGCCUGCACCCUCCAGAGCCCCGCGGU